rnacentral:rRNA from 1 species
GCUUCCGUGCAGGAGUGGGUGCAGCACAUGAAGGCCAGCGUGGUGGGCGUGUGGCGGAAGGCGACGGCGAGGAGCGAGCAGGAGGCGGACCUGCGCGCAGCCAAGGAGCAGGUGGAGGCCACCGACGAGGCCGAGGCCAAGAAGAAGCACCUCGCCGGCUGA